AUUGAACGCUGGCGGCAUGCUUUACACAUGCAAGUCGAACGGUAACAGGGAGCUUGCUCCGCUGACGAGUGGCGAACGGGUGAGUAAUGCGUCGGAGCGUGCCGAGUAGUGGGGGAUAACGCAUCGAAAGGUGUGCUAAUACCGCAUACGUACUGAGGUAGAAAGUGGGGGACCUUCGGGCCUCACGCUAUUCGAGCGGCCGACGUCUGAUUAGCUAGUUGGUGAGGUAAAGGCUCACCAAGGCGACGAUCAGUAGCGGGUCUGAGAGGAUGAUCCGCCACACUGGGACUGAGGCACGGCCCAGACUCCGACGGGAGGCAGCAGUGGGGAAUUUUGGACAAUGGGCGCAAGCCGGAUCCAGCCAUGCCGCGUGUCUGAAGAAGGCCUUCGGGUUGUAAAGGACUUUUGUCCGGGAGCAAAUGCCUGGUGUUAAUAGCACUGGGAGCUGAGAGUACCGGAAGAAUAAGCACCGGCUAACUACGUGCCAGCAGCCGCAGUAACAC
rnacentral:rRNA from 1 species